rnacentral:rRNA from 1 species
AGAGUUUGAUCCUGGCUCAGGAUGAACGCUGGCGGCGUGCCUAACACAUGCAAGUCGAACGAAGCUUGACGGAUGAUUUCUUCGGAAUGAAACCUGAUAUGACUUAGUGGCGGACGGGUGAGUAACACGUGAGCAACCUGCCUUUCAGAGGGGGAUAACGGCUGGAAACGGUCGCUAAUACCGCAUGAUGUGUUCGGAUGGCAUCAUCUGAACAUCAAAGAUUUAUCGCUGAAAGAUGGGCUCGCGUCUGAUUAGAUAGUUGGUGGGGUAACGGCCUACCAAGUCGACGAUCAGUAGCCGGACUGAGAGGUUGAACGGCCACAUUGGGACUGAGAUACGGCCCAGACUCCUACGGGAGGCAGCAGUGGGGAAUAUUGCACAAUGGGGGAAACCCUGAUGCAGCAACGCCGCGUGAAGGAUGACGGUUUUCGGAUUGUAAACUUCUUUUCUUAGUGACGAAGACAGUGACGGUAGCUAAGGAAUAAGCAUCGGCUAACUACGUGCCAGCAGCCGCGGUAAUACGUAGGAUGCAAGCGUUAUCCGGAUUUACUGGGUGUAAAGGGAGCGCAGGCGGGACUGCAAGUUGGAUGUGAAAUACCGUGGCUUAACCACGGAACUGCAUCCAAAACUGUAGUUCUUGAGUGAAGUAGAGGCAAGCGGAAUUCCGAGUGUAGCGGUGAAAUGCGUAGAUAUUCGGAGGAACACCAGUGGCGAAGGCGGCUUGCUGGGCUUUAACUGACGCUGAGGCUCGAAAGUGUGGGGAGCAAACAGGAUUAGAUACCCUGGUAGUCCACACUGUAAACGAUGAUAACUAGGUGUGGGGGGUCUGACCCCUUCCGUGCCGCAGCUAACGCAAUAAGUUAUCCACCUGGGGAGUACGACCGCAAGGUUGAAACUCAAAGGAAUUGACGGGGGCC